GCGUAUCAGCCUUUUGGGUGUGAUUAUGUGGAGCGUGAGGAGCUAAUCGCCUUCAUCUUUGCAUAUUCGUGCACUUUGGGUGUACUUGCUCGUGUGGUAGGUUAACAUCAAUUUUGAUCAUCAUAAAAUGAUUGAAGGAAUGUAGCUUCGAUCUCGUAUUGAAGUGUUAUAGCCUUUGGUAGAUGUGAUGAUCGGGAUUGAGGAUUGCAACGGAUACCCUUCGGGGCUACCCGUCUGAUCUCUGAAAGUUGCUCUGGUGCUGAAAGCUUGCUUAUGGUAUCAAAGUUGACGUUCAAUAGGUUAGAACGGGAUAAAUUCGUUAAGGAUGUUGACGUAACG
rnacentral:rRNA from 1 species